rnacentral:misc_RNA from 1 species
AGGGCGCCCAAGCACCAGUGCAAUUAGGGAAGAUCAACCCCCACUUAAAAUGCGAAAAGGGAAACCUUGCCAAGUUUUGCCACCCCUUGAAGUUAGACUCGACGAAAUGGAUCAUAACAUCAUGAGAACAGAAACACGUGGUCGAUUAAACGUUACGCCUUUAUCGCCAAGUUGCACGAAACCUUCGCUAAUUUUCCGUUAACUAAGUAGAAAUUAAUCUUAAGAUUAGCUAAUCUCAAGAU